UGGGUCGGCAAGACGGUCGCGUUGGCUCGAGCAUCCGUCGUUCUGCGACAGGUGCGGCAGUCACCGAGGAACGUCCGGGCUCCGCAGAGCAGGGCGGUGGGUAACACCCACCCGGGGCAACCCGAGAGAACAGUGCCACAGAAAACAGACCGCCCUGGCUCCUUCGGGAGCCGGUGGUAAGGGUGAAACGGUGGUGUAAGAGACCACCAGCUGCCAUGGUGACAUGGCUGGCUAGGUAAACCUCGCCCGGAGCAAGGUCAGACAGAAGGCGAUACGGCUGCUCGUCGUGUCUUCGGGUAGACCGCUGGAGGCGUGCGGCAACGUACGUCGUAGAUAGAUGGCCGUCCAUGGGUUCGUGCGUUUUUCGCAGGGGCCCAAGACAGAACCCGGCGUAGCAGCCGGCCCAUUCG
rnacentral:RNase_P_RNA from 1 species